UAAGAUGGGGAAGGGGAAGAGGAAAGUAGUUUUUUUCCCUGCUUCUUUAUAGUUGUUUUACUUUUAUCAUUAUUUAUCCUUCUAUUUCUGUUAGAAGAAAUGAAGAAACCUGAUCCAAUAAUGAAAAUGAGAUUGGUGAAACGAAAGAUGGAGGGAAGACCACGUCGACAAGCUGAAUGAUGAACAUGUGUGGGUGAAAACUCUUCCACUUCUCUGUCGAGUAGGUAAAAAAUGAAAAGGAGAAGAAGAAGUUGAAGACAUUGAUAUACGUGGUUCGGCCAAUGGAGCCUACAUCCACGAAAAGGGGGAGAAAAUUUUAUUGAAGGCUCUUACAAGAAGAUAAAACUCUUUCUUUUUACAAAUUUCUUCUCAUGAAUGUAAAAUAAAAUUUAAAUGUAGAUAUACUUAUAUAGUAUGUAGAUUUCGUUACACAUUGUUAAGAGACUGCUGUAAAGAGUUUAAAAAAAAUUGUUGAGAUCAUAUUUGCUUCAAAUCUCCACCUUGAUCUCAAUUCUUGUAGCCUUCACCCUUCCAAAUCUGAUCUUGUUUAACCUCUUUUAGGGAAAUCUAAGCCAAUCAACUCUAAGUAUUUGAGGAGCUUGAGCUUUGAGAUGGGCUUCAUGAGCAUGUCAGCAGUGUUUUCAGAGCUAACGCGGGAAGCGAUCGCAUACGUGGAAGCCGGGCUAUGGUAAAGACGACCGCAUGCAGGGAAUCUCCCCAUUGCAGAAGCGAAUGCAUACGUUCAACGCAUGGAUAUUGUGGCCAUCGACCGCAUGCGUCCAUCGCAUAGAAGUUGUGGUUGUCAAACGAAUGUGGUCAUCGCAGAGAAGUUGUGGCUACAUAAUGAUAACCAUAAUAGAAGGAUGAACACAAGGCAGGUGGAAUGCAAACAUGAACGCAUACCUCGAUAGAAUCAAAAUAUGAUGUUGACAUUUCACCUACUACGCCCUUAGCAGCAGAGAUUUAGAAAAUGACCAUCGCGCUGCGAAUGUCAGAAUCGGAGCAACUUCAUUAAUGUUGUCGGUGAUCCAGCUCUAAAAAUAGAAGCCGUUGAGCUGAAUUUCAAUUUAUCCAAGGUUUUUCACUUGAGGCUCCCUGCCUUUGGGCAGAUCAUUGUGAUCCAGACCAAAGCGUGAGAAGAUAGCUUGAGAGUUCUUCAUCUCUUUCAUCCAUUUCGAGUGACGA